rnacentral:rRNA from 1 species
GAUGAACGCUGGCGGCGUGCCUAAUACAUGCAAGUCGAGCGAACAGACGAGGAGCUUGCUCCUCUGACGUUAGCGGCGGACGGGUGAGUAACACGUGGAUAACCUACCUAUAAGACUUGGAUAACUUCGGGAAACCGGAGCUAAUACCGGAUAAUAUAUUGAACCGCAUGGUUCAAUAGUGAAAGACGGUUUUGCUGUCACUUAUAGAUGGAUCCGCGCCGCAUUAGCUAGUUGGUAAGGUAACGGCUUACCAAGGCGACGAUGCGUAGCCGACCUGAGAGGGUGAUCGGCCACACUGGAACUGAGACACGGUCCAGACUCCUACGGGAGGCAGCAGUAGGGAAUCUUCCGCAAUGGGCGAAAGCCUGACGGAGCAACGCCGCGUGAGAGAUGAAGGUCUUCGGAUCGUAAAACUCUGUUAUUAGGGAAGAACAAAUGUGUAAGUAACUAUGCACGUCUUGACGGUACCUAAUCAGAAAGCCACGGCUAACUACGUG